AUUGAACGCUGGCGGCAUGCCUUACACAUGCAAGUCGAACGGCAGCACGGGUGCUUGCCCCUGGUGGCGAGUGGCGAACGGGUGAGUAAUACAUCGGAACAUGUCCUGUAGUGGGGGAUAGCCCGGCGAAAGCCGGAUUAAUACCGCAUACGAUCUACGGAUGAAAGCGGGGGACCUUCGGGCCUCGCGCUAUAGGGUUGGCCGAUGGCUGAUUAGCUAGUUGGUGGGGUAAAGGCCUACCAAGGCGACGAUCAGUAGCUGGUCUGAGAGGACGACCAGCCACACUGGGACUGAGACACGGCCCAGACUCCUACGGGAGGCAGCAGUGGGGAAUUUUGGACAAUGGGCGAAAGCCUGAUCCAGCAAUGCCGCGUGUGUGAAGAAGGCCUUCGGGUUGUAAAGCACUUUUGUCCGGAAGAAAUCCUUGGCCCUAAUACGGUCGGGGGAUGACGGUACCGGAAGAAUAAGCACCGGCUAACUACGUG
rnacentral:rRNA from 1 species